AGAAUCAACGCUGGCGGCGUGCCUAACACAUGCAAGUCGCACGAGAAAGGGACUUCGGUCCUGAGUAAAGUGGCGCACGGGUGAGUAACACGUGAAUCAUCUACCUCCGAAUGGGGAAUAACUGAGAGAAAUCUUAGCUAAUACCGCAUAAUACCUACGGGUCAAAGCAGCAAUGCGUUUGGAGAGGAGUUCGCGAUCGAUUAGUUAGUUGGCGGGGUAAUGGCCCACCAAGACGAUGAUCGAUAUCCGGCCUGAGAGGGCGCACGGACACACUGGAACUGAAACACGGUCCAGACUCCUACGGGAGGCAGCAGUGGGGAAUUUUGCGCAAUGGGGGAAACCCUGACGCAGCAACGCCGCGUGGAGGAUGAAAUAUCUUGGUAUGUAAACUCCUUUCGAUGGGAAGAUAAUGACGGUACCAUAGAAGAAGCCCGGCUAACUUCGUGCCAGCACGCCGGAC
rnacentral:rRNA from 1 species